rnacentral:rRNA from 1 species
UAUACAGCGAAACUGCGAAUGGCUCAUUAUAUAAGUUAUCGUUUAUUUGAUAGUGCCUUACUACUUGGAUAGCCGUGGUAAUUCUAGAGCUAAUACAUGCUAAAAACCCCGACUUCGGAAGGGGUGUAUUUAUUAGAUACAAAACCAAUGCCCUUCGGGGCUCUUUGGUGAUUCAUGAUAACUAUACGAAUCGCACGGCCUUGCGCCGGCGAUGGUUCAUUCAAAUUUCUUCCCUAUCAACUUUCGAUGUUUGGGUAUUGGCCAAACAUGGUUGCAACGGGUAACGGAGGGUUAGGGCUCGACCCCGGAGAAGGAGCCUGAGAAACGGCUACUACAUCCAAGGAAGGCAGCAGGCGCGCAAAUUACCCAAUCCCGACUCGGGGAGGUAGUGACAAUAAAUACUGAUACAGGGCCCUUUCGGGCCUUGUAAUUGGAAUGAGUACAAUUUAAAUCCCUUAACGAGGAACAAUUGGAGGGCAAGUCUGGUGCCAGCAGCCGCGGUAAUUCCAGCUCCAAUAGCGUAUAU